UUUCAAUCGACCUGCUUUACGGCAGAUUUUAUUCGGAUCUAAAACAAGUUUCAUUCCCGUACUGCCGUGUAAAUAUACAAGAAAAAAGGGAAAGAAAAGAAGACAAAGAUGAAGGUAACAAUGUUAAGGUCAAUCUCUUACACUUCCCUUUAAAAUUGAAGUAUUUAUUGAGAAAUUGAAUCAGAUCAUGCAUCAAUCAUUUAGUAUUUCAUUUGGUCAAUUGAGAUGGUAACAACUCUUCAGAAGUGUUUGGAGCAAUGGAAUCGGAUGACAGGUUAACUUAAUUGGCCAAUCACUUGUUGAACAAAAUAAAAGAACUAAAUUUGCUCAAAUUGAGGGUAAAUCGAUUUGCAGGAAAAGUAAUCCUUUUGUUUGUUUUCAAUCAACCUUUCAUGUUGUUUGGACAACAAAGCAAGUAUAUGUAUUUGCUUAUCGCCACUUAGGUGCUCUAAAGUUUUAAAUUGGUUUCAAGUUAAAAUAUCAAAAAAAGGAGAAGGGAAACAAACUGAUUUUCAAUUGAAGAAACGAAAUGAUGGAAUGUCAAUAUGGAAAUGGAGUGAUGUUCGCGUGAUACCAGCUAUAAUCACGCAAAUGUUGAUUCAACAUCGCACCAUUAUCAUUGAUGAAUGAUCAAAGGCCAACGAAAC